rnacentral:tRNA from 1 species
GGGCUCGUGGCCUAGUCCGGGAAGGCGGCUGACUCCAGAGGCUAACGUGCUCGGUGACGAUACCCCUGAUAUACUGAGCGGGCGGCUGAUCACCACCCGCGCUGAUGACCCUCUGGGGUACCGAGGCACACGAUACCGGAGAUAUCAGCCGAUCGGGGGUUCAAAUCCCUCCGAGCCCA